UACGUAGGGUGCAAGCGUUGUCCGGAAUUAUUGGGCGUAAAGAGCUCGUAGGCGGUCUGUCGCGUCUGCUGUGAAAACUCAGGGCUUAACCCUGAGCUUGCAGUGGGUACGGGCAGACUAGAGUGCGGUAGGGGAGACUGGAAUUCCUGGUGUAGCGGUGAAAUGCGCAGAUAUCAGGAGGAACACCCGUGGCGAAGGCGGCUCUCUGGGACGGUACUGGACGCUGAGACGCGAAAGCGUGGGGAGCGAACAGG
rnacentral:rRNA from 1 species